GAAGCAGCCAUCCUUGAAAGAGUGCGUAACAGCUCACUGGUCUAGUGGUUCCGCGCCGACAAUGUAGCGGGGCUCAAGCACACCACCGAAGACGCGGCAACAGUUUUUUGCUGUUGGGUAGGAGAGCGUCCCCCGAGGGGCGAAGCGGCCGCGCAAGCGCGCCGUGGACUUCGGGGGAGUGAGAAUGCAGACAUGAGUAGCGAGAGACGGGUGAGGAUCCCGUCCGCUGGAUGACCAAGGGUUCCGGGGCCACGUUCGU
rnacentral:rRNA from 1 species